GAGUUUGAUCCUGGCUCAGAUUGAACGCUGGCGGAAUGCUUUACACAUGCAAGUCGAACGGUAGAGGGGGCAACCCCUUGAGAGUGGCGAACGGGUGAGUAAUAUAUCGGAACGUGCCCAGUCGUGGGGGAUAACGUAGCGAAAGUUACGCUAAUACCGCAUACGAUCUACGGAUGAAAGCGGGGGACUCGCAAGAGCCUCGCGCGAUUGGAGCGGCCGAUAUCAGAUUAGGUAGUUGGUGGGGUAAAGGCUCACCAAGCCAACGAUCUGUAGCUGGUCUGAGAGGACGACCAGCCACACUGGAACUGAGACACGGUCCAGACUCCUACGGGAGGCAGCAGUGGGGAAUUUUGGACAAUGGACGCAAGUCUGAUCCAGCCAUUCCGCGUGCAGGAUGAAGGCCCUCGGGUUGUAAACUGCUUUUGUACGGAACGAAAAGGUUUCUAUUAAUACUAGGAGCUCAUGACGGUACCGUAAGAAUAAGCACCGGCUAACUACGUGCCAGCAGCCGCGGUAAUACGUAGGGUGCAAGCGUUAAUCGGAAUUACUGGGCGUAAAGCGUGCGCAGGCGGUUAUGUAAGACAGAGGUGAAAUCCCCGGGCUCAACCUGGGAACUGCCUUUGUGACUGCAUAGCUAGAGUACGGUAGAGGGGGAUGGAAUU
rnacentral:rRNA from 1 species